GAUGAACGCUGGCGGCGUGCUUAACACAUGCCAGUCGAACGGAAAGGCUCCUGCUUGCCGGGGUACUCGAGUGGCGAACGGGUGAGUAACACGUGGGUGAUCUGCCCUGCACUUCGGGAUAAGCCUGGGAAACUGGGUCUAAUACCGGAUAGGACCACAUUUUGGAUGGUGUGGUGGAAAGUUUUUCGGUGUGGGAUGAGCUCGCGGCCUAUCAGCUUGUUGGUGGGGUAAUGGCCUACCAAGGCGUCGACGGGUAGCCGGCCUGAGAGGGUGUACGGCCACAUUGGGACUGAGAUACGGCCCAGACUCCUACGGGAGGCAGCAGUGGGGAAUAUUGCACAAUGGGCGCAAGCCUGAUGCAGCGACGCCGCGUGGGGGAUGACGGCCUUCGGGUUGUAAACUCCUUUCGCUAGGGACGAAGCGUUUUUGUGACGGUACCUGGAGAAGAAGCACCGGCUAACUACGUG
rnacentral:rRNA from 1 species